rnacentral:rRNA from 1 species
AGAGUUUGAUCCUGGCUCAGGAUGAACGCUGGCGGCGUGCCUAACACAUGCAAGUCGAGCGAGAAAUAAAGAAAUGAAGCUUCGGUAGAUUUUCUUUAUGGAAAGCGGCGGACGGGUGAGUAACGCGUAGGCAACCUGCCCUGUACAGGGGGAUAGCCACCCGAAAAGGUGAUUAAUACCCCAUAACGCAAGAGAUACACAUGUAUCACUUGUCAAAGAUUUAUCGGUAUAGGAUGGGCCUGCGUCUGAUUAGCUAGUUGGUAAGGUAACGGCUUACCAAGGCAACGAUCAGUAGCCGACCUGAGAGGGUGAUCGGCCACAUUGGAACUGAGACACGGUCCAAACUCCUACGGGAGGCAGCAGUGGGGAAUAUUGCACAAUGGGCGCAAGCCUGAUGCAGCAACGCCGCGUGAAGGAUGAAGGCCUUCGGGUUGUAAACUUCUGUCCUAGGGGAAGAAACAAAUGACAUUACCCUUGGAGGAAGCCCCGGCUAACUACGUGCCAGCAGCCGCGGUAAUACGUAGGGGGCGAGCGUUAUCCGGAAUUAUUGGGCGUAAAGAGUGCGUAGGUGGCACCUUAAGCGCAGGGUUUAAGGCAAUGGCUCAACCAUUGUUCGCCUUGCGAACUGGGGUGCUUGAGUGCAGGAGGGGAAAGUGGAAUUCCUAGUGUAGCGGUGAAAUGCGUAGAUAUUAGGAGGAACACCAGUGGCGAAGGCGACUUUCUGGACUGUUACUGACACUGAGGCACGAAAGCGUGGGGAGCAAACAGGAUUAGAUACCCUGGUAGUCCACGCCGUAAACG